rnacentral:rRNA from 1 species
AUUGAACGCUGGCGGCAGGCCUAACACAUGCAAGUCGAACGAGUGGCGGACGGGUGAGUAAUGUAUGGGAAACUGCCUGAUGGAGGGGGAUAACUACUGGAAACGGUAGCUAAUACCGCAUACCAUCGGAUGAGCCCAUAUGGGCUUAGCUAGUAGGUGGGGUAAAGGCUCACCUAGGCGACGAUCCCUAGCUGGUCUGAGAGGAUGACCUGCCACACGGGAACUUAGACCCGGGCCCGAAUCCUACGGUAGGCAGCAGUGGGGAAUAUUGCACAAUGGGCGUAAGCCUGAUGCAGCCAUGCCUCGUGUAUGAAGAAGGCCUUCGGGUUGUAAAGUACUUUCAGCGGGGAGGCGUUACCCGCAGAAGAAGCACCGGCUAACUCCGUGCCAGCAGCCGCGGUAAUUC